UCAGCUUCAGAAAAGGAGUUUCUCAGCUUCCCAUUAUUAUCAUUUAAUAAUAGGAGGCAGAGCGAACAAGAAAGAAUGAAGUUUGGACUGCCAGCCACGGCUGGAGAAACUAGCGGGAAAGAAACAACCAUUACUACGUCAGAUAAACCUCUACCUUAUAGGCCACCCCCGAUGGUCAACAAAGGUGGAGGAUCUAACUGGAGAAAAUCUGAAACCAGGAGGGAAGCAAACGCGGGCAAUGACCGGAGUCCGAAGAUUGAGUCAGCUAUCCAUGGCCAGAAUGAUAAUUUAGCUACUCAGCAACUAAGAGAAGAAUUGGCUGAGUUAAGAAGAACGGUGAUUCAAAACGUCCAGCCUCGAGUUCGUCCAGUAUUCAGGGUUACCUACCAGAAGCCAUAUCCUGAAUAUAUAUCGAUGAGUUAAAUCCAUUCCCUCUUAAUUUCAAGAUUCCCGCAUUCCCGAUUUUCACAGGGGAAGAUAGCAGUGUGUCCUCCAGAGAUCAUAUUUUCAAAUUUUCUAAUCACUGUGUGGCGUAUAUGAGGACAAUCCAAACUACAAAUUGAGGUUGUUUGGAAAUUCACUAGCAGGAUUGGCAUCUUAAUGGUAUUCUCUAUUACCCCCAAUUCCAUUGCUAACUGGGGGCAAAUGGAGAUGGCUUUCCAUGAACAGUUCUACAGGAUAGAGCCAGAGCUCACCAUUAAUGAUCUGGUAGAAGUGAAACAAUAUGAUCAUGAGUCCAUCGAAGAUUUUAUGAUGAGGUUCAGAAGGACAAGGAUGAGAUGUCAGUUCCCUGUCAACCAGGCACAGCUCAUAUCCAUUGCUCAAAGGGCUUUAAAAUUACCUUUGAGAAAAAGGUUCUAUGAUGCACAGUUUAAUGAGCUACAAGAGUUGGUGAUUGCUGCUACUAAGUAUGAGAGGCUGUUACAGGAGGAACAGCAGGUAAAACAUACUUCCAAAACUCCUCCGUUCUACAAAAAUAAAGCUACUAUUCACCAUGUAGAGGUAGGGGAAGCCGGACCCGAAUGCAAAGAUGAUCAUGAGGAGAAGAGUAUAGAUGUGUGUGCUGCUGAGAUGACCACACCCUUCAAUCCAUUGACGAUCAAAGGGUUAGUCCAACCAGUCAAGGACCAGAAGAUCGUGAUGAAUGAUGGUGGGUUCGUACCCAUGAAACCCCCAAAGUAUCAAAGUUAUUCUUUCGAUCUAACCAAGGCGCCAGAAAUCUAUGAAGAACUUGUGCGGGCAAGAGUCAUUUUGCCCGACAACACCAAAAAGAUGCCCAAGCCCGAGGAACUCAGGGGGAAGAAGUAUUGUAAGUUGCAUUAUACCUUCAACCACUCUAUAGUCAAUUGUGUCCAGUUUAGGGACUGGGUACAGGAUCUUAUAGUGAAGGGGAAGUUACUACUCGAUUCACCUCAGGCUAGUAUGAUGGUGGAUACUAACCCUUUCCCCGAAGCUCCUAUUAGCAUGAUCGACCUCGUUUUCAAGGAGUCGGGGUUAUCAACAGAGUAAAAUGCCAUUGAAAGGACCCGGGGGCAGGGGCUAAGAUUGCCAACAAUAAAGAUGGAGGAGAAAAGCAGGUAGGCAAGAGGGCAUAGAUUUGCCUGAGGCCUAUCCAAAUGGAGCAGAACAGGAGGAAUGUUACAUAUCCAUUCUAAAACAAAAAGAGAUUACAAAGUAAUUCUAUUCCAAAAACUUUACAUCUUCACAUAAGGUGAUUAUUCUAGAAUGGUAUGUUCGCAUGAUGGUAAAAAUCCUAUUUGGUUCAGCCAAAACAGUAUGGCUGUUUACAAGUUCAGACUUGGUUUGUUCUAACUCUGAAGUCGCUUUUUCCACCCCUUCGAUCUGUUGCUCAAGGUUAUCCAGAAGAGUUGUUUGCUCCGCCUUAAGGAUCAUCAGUGGUCUCUCCAACUUCUGAAUUUCAGAAGAAACAACUUCAAUCCGUUCUUUGGUCUGCAUACUCUCUUCCAUCAGCCGACUAACUUGGGUAGAGGAGCUCGAUUCUCUCUCUAUGAAGCAUUUUGCCCGGUUAGCCAGCCGGUCUGCUCUCUGAUGUUGCUCCCUGAGGGCCCUCAAGUUUUCAAAGAAAGAAAGGAAAGAAUCAUACUGAGGCUUGGAUAAGCGAUCGUUUUUAAAGAACUCAGUAAUGACUCUCUCGAGGUCACAGAGAGCCUUGAGGCUAAAUGAUGCAGUGAAUUCUUUUUUUGCCCAUGUUUGAAAGAUUUGUUGCUGCUCCGAAGACAUAUGUUUUGUUGAAGCCUACUUUGAAGACUUCAACCGCGUCUCAAGUCGCCCGAGUGCUUCGAAGAGUUUGGGCAACUUGGCAGGAUCAGAGGAGGAAGGAGAAGGGUCCGGCAUAACAGUUUCUUCUGGUGAGAUAAUGCCUAUGGAAGGGGCAAUUUCUGUUUGUUCAAUUGGUUCAUCUCUAGACAGGGAGGUGUCAACAUCUCCAGAGGAAGAAGGAGGUUGAAAGCACCUUGGGUUACAGGCCAUUGGAGGAGGGGGAGUUUCUUUUGGGGAAGCUCGCUACAAAACUUCAGGAUCAGGACAAGAUGAACUAUGCACAAGUCAAAGCAAAAGAGGCUUUGGAGAGAAGAAAGUUACCUGACUUAACCCCGGGGUUUCACCAGAGAAUGCACUAACGCCUUGUCGAGGUGAAGAUUUUUCACCACCAGUGACAGAUGGGAAAGUUGUGCCUGAACCCGUGCCUACAUCCUGGUUGUAUCCGAAGAAAGUAGUGAUGAUCAGCAAAAGGUCACCAGAGGAAGAAACAAGAAGAAAAUAUUCCAGCACCUGAGGUUGAUUUUGAGGAGAAGAAGGAGGUUCAUCGACCGUCUGGCGAGUAAGCGCUUGCGAAGUAGUUGUGUCUAAAGCUACAGGGAUCUCAGGAACUAUGGGUUCUUUAUCCAAGGCCACUGACGGGGGAAGGGGUUCAUAUCCCGAAGAUGGCUGCAAAGAACAUGGAUAGGAGUUACUUGGGUAGCAAUGUGCAAAGUUGAAAAGAAAAGAGAGAGUAACUCACCAAAGUAUCAUCCUCAUCCACAAAAAUGCAACAUGAUUUCCUGUGGAAGGAUCAAAUUGAGAAGAAGGGGUUGCAUCUAGGGUAGGUUGCGGAGAAAGACUUUCUUUCCUUGUAGCCUAAGCCAAAUUAUUCAAAAUUCAGAAAGGUUUGAAAAUAAGAAAGUAUAAAGAUAGAAGUCAUACCUCUUUAGGCGUAGCAGCCCUUCGUGAUUCCUUCUUAGAAGCAAGGGUUGACCUUUUAGAAGUUUGAGGUCCUGUUGAGUGAUAAAGGGAUAAUCAGAUAAGGGAGAAAGGUAGCCAUUUGAUCCAGAAGAGGAGAGACUCACUGGAAGAUUGUUCUGUCUCUUUACCCGCUUCAGAAACAGGAGCAGAUGGGGCUGCUGGUUUAGGAGGCACGGUGACUCUUGCCCGCUUACUCUUUCGGGUAAGAAUUGGUCGUGUGGUUGCUGAAGGAAGUGCCGGAUCGGAGAUUGUGGUUUUAGUUAUGGCCACCCUCUUUCGUUUAGAUGCUUUGAUCGUAUCCUUGGCUAUUUCUUUAAUUGUUUCUUCGGCUCCUGAAUCCCCAAGAGAUUCUGAGACGUCUGUCCCUUCCCCGGCUUCCCGCCUUUUAGCUUCUGCUGCAGCACCAUGGAGAACUGCGGCAUCAGCAGAAUCAUUCUCUGAUUCGAUGGCUUCGGAUUCAAUAUCAACUGAAGCUGCAGAAACAGGUAAGAGUGAGGAGGAAAGUAAACAACAAGGAAAGUAAAAUCGGAUGGGAAGAAAGUCACCUAUUAGGAGUAAUCGGUUUUUCUCUUGGAUCAUAUCUUUCCAAUUUGCAAGCUCGCCCGAGCUAGGAUAUGAUUUAAGAGAAAGCUGGCUAAAAAUGCGAUCGUGGUUCACUUUCAAAUCUCCUCCGUAUUUUCUAGUCCACCUUUCCUCCCACCAAGAGGAAAACAGCGAGGUACAUUCGAAAUUAAGAACAACGGAAUGUCGGGCUGCUUGGCUCAUCACGUCCAAACUACGGCGGGCAGCUCGAAAUAUUGCUUCAGAAGGAGUCUGUAACCGAAAUGAAGUGCCACAAUGGAUGGAGUCGAAGAAUGGGACAGGUAUGGAUUGCCUAAAUCCUAGUUGCCUGCUGCAGAAGUUAGGAUGAUACACCUCCAAGCCUCGAUCAUACCGAUUUCCCCGGACCCUCCAGGCCAAGUCUCUUGGCUGAAUACAGCUGAUAAACUUUUCCCUGCAGAAGGGAGCAGCAUCCUCACCAGGGGCAUCUUGGAAGGCUUGGUCAGAAAACCAAGGAUAUCUCCUCAAGACCGAUGCACCCCAUUCCAAGUCUGAUCGAGUCCUGCAGACUCGGAAAAAGUAGAAGCAUGCAAAGGUGGAAUGAUCUACAGGAGGAGCUUCAGCCAGGAUUCGGGCAGGAGCCACACCCUCUGGAAACUCUAGAUUAAUAGCCCGAAAUUCUGGAAAAUACCAUUGUAGCCAAAUCUGUAUCAUCCAGAUGGGGCCGUUCAAAUUGGUCUCAAAGGGCUCAUCCCGGGUCAUGUCAAAAAGAAGGUGAUAGAGAUGGGAGAGAAGGAAUGGACCUGUGGCAACGUCAUCAAAAAUUAUGAAGAACCUCUACCAAGGGGAUCCAUUCUACCCGUACCCCCUUGGAUUUUUGUUGGGGAAGACGUGCUUGUUAAGCCAGUAAAGAAGAAAGUACAUAUGCUCUUGAUCUUUGUCGGUUUGAGGAGAGCCUGCCCCGAAGUUCUUCUUGACAAAAGGGAUGAAUCCUUUAAAGGAGGUCCCAUAACUUUUGAAAGUAACUGAGUUAUAGCUGAGAGGAAGGAAGUAGGUGGAAGAACUUGAGCCUCCGGUGGUAGAGGAUGGAAUCCAAUCUUGAGAGUAACAUCUAUCACCCUGCCCGAUGGCCUCAACCCGAAGACUUGGGCCAUAUCAAGAAUGGUGGGAGACAUGGGACCCAUACGGAAAUCGAAGGUGUUUGUGCCCGUAUUCCAAAAGAGGAGGGCAGAAGUAAGCAAUUCGGGCUUAGGAGUAAUUGAAAUCUUCGAAAGCAUAAUCAGUUCGUAGAUGCCGUUACUACUCAUCCAUUUCUGCUUGAAGGAAGGUUCCAAUUCGUCAAUCCAUUGGGCCCAGGCAGGAUCAUUCAUCAAGGGAAAGCCUCGACGAUGAAAAGACCACUUAGAAGAAGAAAUGCCCGAGUCGGCCAAAUAAGGAUUUGGGGUAAACCAGUUUCCCCUAGGCAUAUUACUUUCUACUACUGAGGGAACCCGAGAAAUCCAGGCAGGACCCAAAGAUUGAACCCCAUGCAUCUCAAAGAAGAGUUCAAAAUGCAGACCUGCCCGCGGACGAUGCAGCCCGUUGAGCAGACGGGCGUAGAGUGGCAAUUCCUUCACCAGACUCUCGUAGGAUGGUAGGGUUUGGCCGGAUCCUGAGGCCAUUUAAUGAAGGCCGUGGGGAAGAAAAACAAGAAGAACGGUAAAGAUGCAACCUCGUCGGACAACGAGAAAGAAAUGAUGGAAGAAUUGAGGAAGUUUUUUGUUGUAUCAGAGAAGGUUUUCUUUUUACGAAACACAGAGAACGGAGAAGUUCACUCACAAGGGUUUUAAGAGUUCUAAGGGUUUAAAACAGGGGUCUCUUUCAAUUAAUGUUGGCGCUUGGGAUCCCAACCUUAACAUCAAUUGAAGGGGGCACUGUUUGGGAUAAAAUCUGAACUUUGGGCCAGAGAGAAAGUCGGCCCAAACCCAAAGCCCAGAGGAAAACUUAGGAGGCAGGAAAGAGGCUUUCGGCUGGGCACAAGUUACAAAGGCCACCUGCUUACCUGCUCAAAGACCACAGGUGGUAGGUUAUUCAGUCACUACACAGCCCAAUAAAGUACUUUAUUGGUGGCAUUCAUGUAAAAAAGCUAGUGAGUCAUCACCAAAACCGCAUUCGGGCAACCUCUAUUGCUACAGGAACCCAAGCUGAAGUCGUCUAUAAAAGGAGGAAGAGAAGACAGAAUUAAGGACACUCAAACAAACAAACAAAAGCCAAAACUCUGCUCAAGCUAGAUUUGCCUUCAACGAAGCUGUAGUCAGCACAAGCCUUCAUCCCAUUCGGGAUAAACCUUCCCAAACCCCUGUAAUAGCUCUGCUACCUUGUUCAUGGUGGUAUCGAUUCAUUUUGUAUCCUCUUCUCCCCCGUCAACCCCUCUAAAAGCUUUCAGACCUCUAACAGAGCCACAAAGAUAGAUUUUGUAAGAAGUUCAGCCUUGGCCGAUAAGGUUCAAACUUACCCGACUAUCUUUGCUCUGUCUUUGUCUUUUCUUUCUUUUAAAAGCACAAUAACAUGUUAUAUAUUCCCAGUUAUAUACAAGUUAUUUCUAGCAAAGUCAUAAUGAAAAUGAGUCUUCAGCACUUGGAUCCGAUCUGAAUCGUGUCAGAGUUCAAAUCAGAUCUAAGUCUUAAGCCCGGCGGGCGUGUAAUUUAAAGAUCAGUUUAAAAGUCCUUGGCCUCAAGGCAUAAAAAAGAACUCUAUGUGGACUCAACCCAUCCACGACAAUCCUUGAUAAGCGAGAAGUCCGAAGUUACUUGGGGCGCAAUUAAUCAAUCUAUUUCUCCGUUUUGUUGCUAUUAUAUCUUGAUUCGUAGAAAAUGCUUAAACAGGGAGUGAAUUCUGAUAGAAAGCCUCAAGGCCUACACCUAAGGCCCCACGAAGGCAUCUAUUUAGCUUCAUUUCAUGUUGUGGUCUAGUUGGUCCGAGUAUAAGGAUUAACUCUGAUGGGAAGCCUCAAGGCCUAUACCUAAGGCCCUACAAAGGCACUCAUUUGGGUUCGUCCUACCUCUUGGAUUCAGAUAAUCAAAAGUAUAAUAGUGAUAAGACUCUGGCAACCAUAAAAGACCAAAUAUGAUACAUCCAAGCGCUGGUUUAGUUUGACAGGAAGCCUCAAGGCCUAUACCUAAGGCCUCACAAAGGCACCUGUUAUAUCUAAACUGGUUUCUCGGGCGUAUACAUAUUCAAUCAAAGCUUAACACCCAUUCAACAUCUGCCAUACUGAAGAUGGCAGUGGCACGCCUGAGCACGACAAAGUUAAUCUUGAUUGUGAGCCUUAAGGCCUACAUCUAAGGCCCCACAAAGGCACCCUUUCAAAUUAACUCUGUCCUUCUCUUUCAGAACUGCCCGACGAGCCUUGCCCGAAGUGUGUCUUGCCCGACCAAGAUCUGCCCGACAAAGGCUUGCCCGAGCGAGCCCGAGAAGAAAGCAGAAGUAUGACAGAUACUCUCAACCGACGCCAUUCUCCCAGGGGAGCUGUGUGCUCGUCCGCCAGGAGAUUCUUGCGACGAACAUAGUUUUGGCACGCUCGGUGGGACAAGAAACAGCUACACUUCUAAGAUCUUACAUGUCCAAAAAGAGAAGCUAUAAACUUGCCAAAAAAGAAGCCAAGAAGGAUCUUUUCCAGAUGACAGAACAAUCAGAAAAUCCUUUAUCCCCAUCCGGACAGGUGGUCUCAGGUAGUUCGACUACAUCUGAGAAAUCACAGGGGAAAGAGAUUAAUGAAGAACUGCAAGCUACAAUGAUCCAAGUGUUGAAAAGCAUGGAAAGAAUUUCCUUGGAGACUAAGGGAGAAGUAAGCAGACUCUGUAUGCUUACAGGAAAUCUACAAAGGAGGCUGGAUUUGGAGUUCUCUACUCCAAAGGGUGCUCAAGGAAGUGGAAUGAGUCCAGUUGUUAUAAGAAGUGAGCCAAUCAUUCCUUUGUUUCCACUACUAGAAGAAGAAAAGGAUAGGGGAAAGAAGAAGGUGAUACCUGAAGGAAGUCAAGCAGUGAUGGAGUCAGCUUCAGAAAAGGAGUUUCUCAGCUUCCCAUUAUUAUCAUUUAAUAAUAGGAGGCAGAGCGAACAAGAAAGAAUGAAGUUUGGACUGCCAGCCACGGCUGGAGAAACUAGCGGGAAAGAAACAACCAUUACUACGUCAGAUAAACCUCUACCUUAUAGGCCACCCCCGAUGGUCAACAAAGGUGGAGGAUCUAACUGGAGAAAAUCUGAAACCAGGAGGGAAGCAAACGCGGGCAAUGACCGGAGUCCGAAGAUUGAGUCAGCUAUCCAUGGCCAGAAUGAUAAUUUAGCUACUCAGCAACUAAGAGAAGAAUUGGCUGAGUUAAGAAGA
rnacentral:lncRNA from 1 species